UUGGCUUAUGGUGAGGAUGAUACAUGAUUAAGAUGUGCUUAUGUCUUAGCUUUAUUUUUGGUUAAUUAAUUUGAUUUGAUUAAUUUGUGUAUGCUGAUGUUACUGGAUGUGGAUUGAAAUGAUAUGAGAAAGUAGGUGUGGGUGCGCAGGAGGGCUACAAGCCCUCAAACCUACAAGUCAAUGGGCCACUCUCAUCGAUUAGUGUCAUGCACCAGCAA
rnacentral:lncRNA from 1 species